rnacentral:rRNA from 1 species
GACGAACGCUGGCGGCGUGCCUAAUACAUGCAAGUUGAGCGAUGAAGCUUGGUGCUUGCCCCAAUUUGAAGAGCAGCGCACGGGUGAGUAACGCGUGGGGAAUCUGCCUUUGAGCGGGGGACAACAUUUGGAAACGAAUGCUAAUACCGCAUAACAACUUUAAACAUAAGUUUUAAGUUUGAAAGAUGCAAUUGCAUCACUCAAAGAUGAUCCCGCGUUGUAUUAGCUAGUUGGUGAGGUAAAGGCUCACCAAGGCGAGGAUACAUAGCCGACCUGAGAGGGUGAUCGGCCAAAUUGGGACGGAGACACGGCCCAAACUCCUACGGGAGGCAGCAGUAGGGAAUCUUCGGCAAUGGACGAAAGUCUGACCGAGCAACGCCGCGUGAGUGAAGAAGGUUGUCGGAUCGUAAAACUCUGUUGGUAGAGAAGAACGUUGGUGAGAGUGGAAAGCUCAUCAAGUGACGGUAACUACCCAGAAAGGGACGGCUAACUACGUG